ACUUUCCAGCUCAAGCUCAGUCUGCAGAGCAUGAGACUCUUAAUCUCAGAGUUGUGGGUUCAAGACCCAUGUAGGGCA